rnacentral:lncRNA from 1 species
CAAAGCAAGAACAUCUGGAAAGCUGCAGACAUUGACACUAAUAAAUUAUCCUGCAAACUUUUUCAAACCCUCCAACCGCAGUCUGAAUUUGGGUCACUCAUUUGGGACUCAUUUGUCUCUCCUUGGUUAGACAGGUGUACUCCAGUGACCCCAGCACCUAGAUGCAUGCUGUUUAGGACAUGGUGAUGUGGCUUCUGUUUGCAUCUCUAGCUGCUGGGCAAUGCUACAAUCAGUGCGAAGAAAUGACAAAUACAAACAUGAGUGUCAGACUGCUUUCAUGGAAGAUUUGUUGAAGCAAAUAAGGCAGUUUGAGGAAAGGAAAAGGAAAAUUUCCAUUCCAUUCAAAGCAAUGGUAGAACUUUUUGCUGUAUCUUACAGUAGUGGGAAAUUCGGGUUUCUACCUAACAGGGGUCAGAGGGAUGGCUGAGGUCCUCAUUAGCAUGGUGAACUCUGCCGGAGGGCAGGCGAGGAAGCAUGAGGAGAUGUCUUCCUGAGCAAAUGUCUUUGGAAGGGAUUUGCUUUAGAGUUAAAAAAAAAAAAAAAAAAACAAACAACAACAAAAAAACAAGCAGCGUUUUAAAAGAUAUCUAUGUCUUUUUAAUAUCAAGAUAUUAAGAUCUAUUAUAGACAUUAUUAUCGCAAAAGUUGUAUCAACAGGCAAACUGCAAGGUACAAUUACAGUGAGCUGCAAGUAAUUUUCUCUGUUUCACUGUUUCGGUGACAAGACAGUCAUUUCUUCUUACAGAUUUGCUUCUUGCUUUUUAGUGUCUGUGGAGUUAUGCACUUGCCUUUACAUCAUUAUCUUAUAUAUCCUUUGUUAUUUACAACCCUCCCCCAAAUUACCCGCUAUUACUCCCAAAGCUUUCAUAACCCUUGAGGCCAAGAGUGAAGUUCUGAUAGUGAUGGAGUCCAGAGCUGUAGCAGAUCACCCUGCUGGUGUGAAAUCACUGCAACACAAAUUCUGGUUCUCCAUGGGUUUGGCUUCUUCCUUCUGAAUAAAAAUGACUUCAAAGUAAAAUACA